ACUCCUACGGGAGGCAGCAGUGGGGAAUAUUGCACAAUGGGGGAAACCCUGAUGCAGCCAUGCCGCGUGUGUGAAGAAGGCCUUGGGUUGUAAAGCACUUUCAGUAGGGAGGAAGGUAGUGUAGUUAACACCUGCACUAUUUGACGUUACCUACAGAAGAAGCACCGGCUAACUCCGUGCCAGCAGCCGCGGUAAUACGGAGGGUGCGAGCGUUAAUCGGAAUUACUGGGCGUAAAGCGCAUGCAGGCGGCCUGUUAAGUCAGAUGUGAAAGCCCGGGGCUUAACCUCGGAAUUGCAUUUGAAACUGGCAGGCUAGAGUCUUGUAGAGGGGUUAGAAUUUCAGGUGUAGCGGUGAAAUGCGUAGAGAUCUGAAGGAAUACCAGUGGCGAAGGCGGCCCCCUGGACAAAGACUGACGCUCAGAUGCGAAAGCGUGGGAGCAAACAGGAUUAGAUACCCC
rnacentral:rRNA from 1 species